UACGUAGGUGGCAAGCGUUGUCCGGAUUUACUGGGCGUAAAGAGCGCGCAGGCGGUCGUGCAAGUCGAGUGUGAAAGCCCCCGGCUCAACUGGGGAGGGUCACGCGAUACUGCUCGACUUGAAGGCAGGAGAGGGAAGUGGAAUUCCCGGUGUAGUGGUGAAAUGCGUAGAUAUCGGGAGGAACACCAGUGGCGAAGGCGACUUCCUGGCCUGUUCUUGACGCUGAGGCGCGAAAGCUAGGGUAGCAAACGGG
rnacentral:rRNA from 1 species